rnacentral:rRNA from 1 species
UGGGGAAUUUUGCGCAAUGGGCGAAAGCCUGAUCCAGCAAUGCCGCGUGAGUGAUGAAGGCCCUAGGGUUGUAAAGCUCUUUUACCCGAGAUGAUAAUGACAGUAUCGGGAGAAUAAGCUCCGGCUAACUCCGUGCCAGCAGCCGCGGUAAUACGGAGGGAGCUAGCGUUGUUCGGAAUUACUGGGCGUAAAGCGCACGUAGGCGGCAUAGUAAGUCAGGGGUGAAAUCCCGGGGCUCAACCUCGGAACUGCCCUUGAAACUGCUAAGCUUGAAUCCUGGAGAGGCGAGUGGAAUUCCGAGUGUAGAGGUGAAAUUCGUAGAUAUUCGGAAGAACACCAGUGGCGAAGGCGACUCGCUGGACAGGUAUUGACGCUGAGGUGCGAAAGCGUGGGGAGCAAA